rnacentral:SRP_RNA from 1 species
GCUGGGCGUGGUGGCACGUACCUGUAGUCCCAGCUACUCGGGAGGUUUAGGUGGGAGGAUCCCUUGAGUCCAGGAGUUCUGGGCUGUACUGCGCUAUGCCCAUCAGGUGUCUGCACUAAGGUUGGCAUCAAUAUGGUGACCUCCCAGGAGCAGAGGACCACCGGGUUGCCUAAGGAGAAGUCAACUGGCCCAGGUUGGAGAUGGAGCAGGUCAAAACUCCCGUGCUGAUCAGUAGUGGGAUCCUGCCUGUGAAUAGCCACUGCACUCCAGCCUGGGCAACAUAGCGAGACCCAGUCUCCU